CUCUUCGUCUUUUCUCCAUGAUAGGCUUUGAUGACUGUAAAGAAAAAAAAAAAAAGAGCGCUGAGUUCCCAUGGGACCUGCCAUUUCACCCCUCGAUUUUAAGGGAGAAAGGAGCCCCCAACCCCGUCUUAAUCUCUUGGGGCUGCAAGAGAUGCAGAUUCCCUGCAGCCUGCCAGGGACGUGGUAGCUGCCCUGCCAAAGAGCUAUCCUGGGAGGGCUAUUGAAAGAGCUUUGAGCACUUGAGCGGCUCUGCACCCAGCAUUUGGAUGGAGAAAGGGAUAGGCAAGAAAGCCAAGUGUCUACCCACAGAAGAGGAUUCAGGAAUGCUUGCAGCAAGAGUCCUGGUUGCCAUGCAGUGGCAUUCGAAACGACCGCAACUCUGCAUUCCAUCUUUGAUAAAAAUAAGUUGCUACUUCUAAACAAAACUGCCUAGUUGGUUUCUGGCCAAGCUGGGACCUCGAACUGCAAAUCGCGGGUGACGGUGGAAAAACAGAAACUUUUCAGCAUUGGCUCCUAGCAGGCUGUAAUGCUUUCUGCUUCCCCCCAGCCCUUUGGAAAACUUGACCACAGCCAGUGGGACCAAGGGAAUGUGCACUUUUCUAAUGGGCCCCAAAAGAGGAUGGUUGCCAGGAAAGCCUUUCCCAUGGGGCGGGGGCAGGGCACCGGGGACAGCUUAACUCCCACAUUUGGCCACAGCAGCCAUGGCGGGCAGGCUCUAAAUGUGCUCUCAACUAACCUUUUACUCUCUGAGCAGGGCUGCAGUGAGGCAAGCCUGCAAGCCCAGGGAUGAAGGCGGGCAUUUCUGAGGGAUUGCACGGUUGCUGACUUGCACGCUUGUGUGUAAAAGGCUCAGAACUGCAUGGGGGCUGGUGCCUGUAGGGGCCUCUGGAAGACUCAGGAAGGUGGGGGGAAGUCUUAGCCCCUUUAAACCCAGGACAUGGGUUUGCUGGGCUUGCUGAUAGCUGCUCAAAUUGUGACAUCAGAUCAAGCUUCUCAAAAAAUCAAAAACAAAAACAAUGCAGCUAACCAAGAGAAUCAUUUGGAUAAAACCUAGGGCCAGAAAGUGAUAUGGGAUGAGUGUAUAAGGCAUAUUUUAAAUCAAAGUCUCUGUCAUUGUUACCCUUGCUUAUUUUCCUCGGCUUAUAGGAAAGGGGUAGGGGAGGCAAAGUAAGAGACCUAACAGGUGGCUUAAUGGGUCCGUUCAUUGAAUGCAUAGGAAAAUUGAACCUAGGAAGAAAUGACUGGACUAAGGUUUAACAGCCUCCCCAGAGAGGGAGGAGAAGGCCAGAAUUAGGCUCGAGUUUCCUACCCACCAGUCCAGAAACCCGCCCCUCUGUAUCUGUAUGAGAAGAACGUUUUGAAAUAUCAUCUACAGCAAGUGACUAACAUUACCACCAAAGAUGGAUUUUCCGGUUGAGAAUCAGAGCUACCUGCUGGUAGGCGAGUGUGGUGGUGUGACAGAAUAUGCCCAGCACAUUUAACCACAGCGUGGUUAAAUGCCAGGCUUGCUGCACCGUGAUUCCCUCUAGAAUUUGCUCACCACCCUGUGACCUCUGGAAAAGAAGAGAUCUUGAUUUCUGAGUUCCAGGAGACAGGAAGCUGCUCGCCGGGGCCACACAGAAAAGCAGAGGGAGAGGUGAGAAAAAGAAUGAAUUUUUCCAAGUGGUAGAGAGAUGGUAUUUGCAUGUGAGAUAUACAUUUUCCUUUUAUGUAUCAGGUUUAGGGAACAAGAAAAGACAGUCCGGGCAGCUGCCACAACUGCCACUUAAGACUCUGGUGGGUUCUAGCAUUUCGGGAGCUUCUGGUCUCUUCCACAGAGUUGGAGGGCACCUGUCUUCUUGCCUUGUAGUAUUUGACAGUGGACAAAGCACUUUAUAGUUCAUUACAGCAUUCUGUCCUCAUAUAUAGCCUUAUAACCUAGCCUAGAAAGACAUGGUGGAAGGCCCAGGGAUGGGGAGAGAGAGGAUUCAGGUGAUUAGUUCAGGAGACCAUGGGCUAUUGAGGGCACAGGAUAUAGGAUAGACAAGCUUCCUGGAAAGUUGUACCUCUAGAGAAACAGGGCAGGGAGCUUAGAGGCCGGGAGAGAACAAACUUUCCUUUCUCAGCCACCGGCAAGAAUAAGAUGUCAAGAAACUGGAACAGAGGGAAGAAGGGAGAUGACUGUCAAUUUGUUAGAGAGUAUCAGUAAUCCGCAGGACACAUCUUGGGCGGGGAGCAAGGAGGAAGGGUACUUUCUUGUGGCAGGAAGCCAGGGUGGAGAAGGUGAAGGGAAGGAAUCCCACUUAGGAGGAAGAUGACUGAGCAGGUUCCGGAAAGGACAUGGAAAGGUGAUGAGCAUAGUUUUCACUGGGCUGAGCUGCUUAGUUCAGCAUCUGGUACCUUCUGAGAGGCUUCCUGGAAAAUCUCAGGAAGGGAGACCGGGUCUGUGCCUGAGGGCGCUUGUAGAACUCUGGAACUGGUAUCACUCUUCCUCACUGGUUAUUUGUUCUAUGCUUUUGUAUUGCUAUAGGCAUAACACAAGAGCCCACAGACUGGAAAAAGCGGUGGGAUUGUUUGGGGGUGAUGGCAGGGAAUGGGGGCAGUAUGGAGACUGCAUCCUGCUCUGUAGCCAGUCUGAGGGUGGUCGUCCUCUAGAGGAGGCGGCAGGGUGACUCAGCGGAGGGGGAGGCAAGCACAUCAAAUUCUUCUAGUGCCAGGGGAAGGACCGAGGACCCAGGGUUCAUCUCCAGCUCCCUGACCGUGUGGGCAAUUGCCCACAUAUUGCAGUGCAUUCUGGGUCCCCUCAGCCCAACUCUGCCUCUACUCUGGAAAGUAGGGGAGAGGAAGCUCCUUUUGCAGGGCUGGGCUUCUACAGGCCCCUUGACUGAAAUCGGAGAGGAGCCUGGAGGCUGUGAGUGGUGACACCUCCUGCCUGACCGAUGGAGCUCUCUUGAUAAAGUCCCUGAGCGUCGGCUGUCUCCUGGAGCAGGUUGCCAAGCUAUGCGGGUCUCAUCCAGCUGUGGCCUUUAUCUCACCAGGCUCCCACAGUCACAGAGGGACCUGGUACUCACGUUCAAGUAUUUGAGCUCCCUGUCCUGGGCGGCUAUUCAACCCUCUACACCCUCCUCACUUACCCUCAAAGUCCCGGCCCCUGGGACAGACCUGGACUUGGUCUAGAACUCCAAGUCAUCUGGACAGAGGGUGGAGUCGCAGCUUGUCUUCUGUGUAUGGAGUGAACCUGUGUGGACGGUAGCCAGACAAUCUUGUCAGGGGUGAAAGCCGCCCAAUCUCCAAUUGCCUGUUCAACUUAAUUCAGGUCAAUGACUAUUUGCAAGCACCUACUACGUGGAGGGCAAAACUACAUGUCUAUUUUGACAGUUACUUCCAUCCUUUCCUGCUAUUCAAAUGCUAUCCAUCUGUGCAGAGGGGCAACAUCCCAGGUUUAUAUUAUAAAAAUUGCCCCUUUACUCUCCACAUUCUUCAUCUCUAUUGCUUCUCUGAUAAAGAAGCAAAGAAACUCCUUACGGUGUCAGUUAUAAUAUCUUUCACAGAGUCAGCACCCCCAAAUAUUGGACAAUAAAUGCACGAGUGAACUUCAACUUAAAAAAAAAUGUUUUACUGGCGAUUCAAUGGCCCCCUGAGAGGGUCAGGGUACAUUUCUAAAUUUUCCUCGGUUGCUGAGUCCAAGGAGUGGGUUUACUUUGACGCCUCUGGGUAAGCACCUCUGGGCAGCAGGGACACCCCUGCGGACAGCUCUCCUAUGUUGCAAUCAGGAGAAUUGAGAGGAAUCUACGGCUGGCUGUGUUUUCCCAGGCCUAUCUUUAUUGAUGGUUAUUAAAGACACACCAGCACACGGCAAUACGAAAGUACAAAGCAAUUCCCAGGGUAAGGUACGUGGGAAGGAGCGAGAUACUGAGCUCCCAAACAAUUCUACUGUAAUCGCAGUCUGCCAUAUCUACGUAUAGUUAAUAAGUAAGAUGUAAGCAGGCAGGUUCCACCACUGGGCAGCAGAUGGAAAGGAAAAAGGCCACGGGAGAGAUCACUGGUCCUGCUGGAAAAUUGGGAAAGAAAACAAGGAGGAUACCUGGGAAAGGUGAGUCUGGUGGGCAGUCACCAGGAGGUGCGGAAGCCUACACCUGGUCCCCAGGAAGGACCACUGCUCACCUCUUCUCCUGCCCUCACUCUCCCUAUGCAUGCCAGCCCCUCGUGGAAGAUUGCGUGUAACCAAGAAUAGGUAGGAAUCACGCCCAGACACACUGGGUUAAAAAAGUGUCAAUACAGCACACAAAAACACCUGUUUUUACAGAGUACCCCCAACACACCUGUUGUUUUACGAUGCCGAGUAUUAUUGAUAAAGGGGGCUGUAAAGUCGCGGUGAAAUGGCCUCUUAUAUUUAAAUAGCACCUUCCUCAAUGUUUUACAGCAGAGAUUUGACUGACCCGUUGAUUAUUUGUUAGGAAUGUUGAGCGCAUAUCUCUAUAUAUGUUCAGGGUGGCUAAAAAGCAAAGGCUCUAGAGCCUGACUGCCUGGGUUCACGUUCCAGCUUAUUCACUUUCUAGCUAUGUGACAUGACUAUUCUGUACCUCACUUUACUUGCCUGUUAAAUGGGGAGAAAUUCAUAGUACUUACCUUAUAGGAUUGUUAGGAGGACUAAUAUAUGGAAUAUGUUUAGAACAGUGCCAGGCAUAUUGGACAUACAAUAUAAGUUCUCAGAUGCUUUUAUCAUAUUGCUAUAUAUAUGCCAUAUAUAUGUUUAUAUUUAUAUCUGGCAUACAAGAUAGACACUCAUUCAUUUAAAAAAAUUCAUAUGUUAGUAUUCUCAAAGAAAUGGAUGGACGACCACUGUGAUAAUUGGUCCACAGGUAUUUGACAAAUCAAAAGCUUCAGCAGUCUUUUAUGAAUAAAAGGCUGUGGGACCAGGAGGAACCUAAAAAAUUAGCUGGCUUCUUCUUUUCCAGGGAGGAGGGUCUCUACCAUCUAAGCACUCUGGUGGCUUUGUUUGUGAGCAGGUGCAGACCUUGGUGUAGCCCUGCCUGGAAUAAUUAAAAUGAGCCUCAGGCCCAUGGAAAGUAGAGCUCUAGAUGGAGGCAAGGGCAUCGGCAGGGGCCAGGCACACAGGAUGUGGACUGGAGGUGGAUUUAUUCCCGCUCGCCGACAACACAAGGGACCGGAAGGGCUGUAGAGGGACACUUCAUCCAAAAGAGUAAACAUGGGCAGGCCCUCCCUGGAUGCCAGUCACACUUCCAUGAUGAGUGGGAAAGAUGAACGUCUGAGACCUUUCCUGCUUGUAGGUGCCCAUAUAAUUUAUGGUCUAAACUGGAACACUUUUGAGAGUGAAAACUAAUGCUAUUAACAAUUAUGUCAGGAUAAUUGGCAUAAAAACUGGGACACAUGACCAUCGUAGUUCUGUGGGCCUACAAUGGCAGGUCCUAGAUUGUUCAUCUGUCUAUUUAGGUAUCUUUUAUCAGAGAUGCUUCCUAAGAAGAAAAAAAAAAUUUUUGGCCGUGGCACGUGGCUUGCGGGAUCUUAGUUCCCCAACCAGGGAUUGAAUCCAGGCCCCCUGCAGUGGAAGCCUGGAGUCCUAACCAAUACACCGCCAGGGAAUUCCUAAGAAAUAUUAUUAUUAUUAUAUAUUUUUUUGGUACGCGGGCCUCUCACUGCUGCGGCCUCUCCCGUUGUAGAGCACAGGCUCCGGAUGCGCAGGCUCAGUGGCCAUGGCUCACGGGCCCAGCCGCUCUGCGGCAUGUGGGAUCUUCCCAGACCGGGGCACGAACCCGUGUCCCCUGCGUCGGCAGGCGGACCCUCAACCACUGCGCCACCAGGGAAGCCCGAAAUAUUAUUUUUAAGUCACUAAUGUUUUAGCAUUUCUUCAUCUUUGGAAGGUGAUGCCAUUGAUUUACCUUCCAUACAGGGAGGAGCCCCAGUUUUGAACCUAGGGGACCUUAGUGUGUUUAGGAGAAGGGACGGUCAGAGGGAGGCCCUGUGAUGGUUGGAUGGUUGUGCUUAAGGCAUGUUUGACAUGACUCGGUUUCUUCUUCGAUAGAGCAGGUGUGGUCCAAGCUUCCCCACCUGCGAGUUUGCACCCGGGUUAUGGCUACAGCAUAGCAAUGCUUCCAGGGACUCUUGCACUGACCAACCAUGGCUGAGUACAUCCAUUUUUCUUGGGCAUGUGAAUGUGGAAAAAGCGAUUGCUGCAAUUUGACACUCAGGCCAUUGGGUAAUGGCUGAAGGAAGACUCCAAAGGAAAGAACGUUUUCCCACCUGAAAUAUUUGCUCUUUUUGCUUUGAAUUUGACUAAGUCUUUAGUGGUAGAGAAAAACCAAAACCCACCCCAAAACCAAAAGCGGAACAAACAAACAAAAAUCACAUUUUUUUUUCUAAACAAUUCAAACUCAAGGUUUGGGCUUUGUUAAUUUCCUUAAAAAAAAAAAAAAGACAAGAAAGAAAAGAAAAAUGGCUCCUUCACCUGAGUGUUCUUAUAUGUGCCUAUUUAAUGAUUAAUAAUACCUUGUGGGCUACUGUUGGAUAUGGCCUCUGCUGGUUUGAACAGGAGAAUUCUGAUUCACACUUCAGGCAUUUAUGAAUCACAAGUGUUUACCCUGAGACAAUAAGUGAAAGGGGGGAGAUUAAAAAAAGAAAAACACCCAAAUAUGCUGGGUUCUUUGAGGAAAAACUGGAGAUAAUGUGGGCUCUCCGUCUUUGAUACCCUGUGCGGGGCCCACCGCUUUCUCUCACUGAAUAAAGAUUGUGUGGAGUGACCGCGACUGGGCCUUUUGAGUUUUAUAGAUUUUCCCUUUCAUUUGCUGAGCGGUCAGGCAACUCUUCCCCCUUGGUUUCCAUGUCACGUGCCUUCGUUUUCU